GCUCGAAAAUGUUAAAGUUCUUAUUUCAUGGUAUAACUUUGGUAUGCUUGGACCUAGAGUCUUCAAACUUGACAUGAAGGUUGGCCAGGAUUAACAGAUGACCACUGGUCAUUUCAAGGUCAUUCAUUUGAAGGUCAAGGUCACUGUGACCUUCAAUAUAAAAAAUGUUAAAGUUGUUAUAACUUUGGUAUGCUUGAACCUAGAGUCUUGAAACUUGACAUGAAGGUUGGCCAGAACUAGUAAGUAACCACUGGACAUUUCAAGGUCAUUCAUUUGAAGGUCAAGGUCACUGUGACCUUGAAUGUAAAAAUGUUAAAGUUCUUAUUUCAUGUUAUAACUUUGGUAUGCUUGUACCUAGAGUCUUCAAACUUGAAAUAAAGAUUGGCCAGUACUAGAAGAUGACCACUGGUCAUUUCAAUGUCAUUCAUUUGAAGGUCAAGGUCACUGUGACCUUAAAUGUUAAAAUGUUAAAAUUGUUAUAACUUUGGUA